rnacentral:lncRNA from 1 species
UGUCCAUCUUAUUGGGUUCUGGAAGUAGGUAUUGAUGAUCCUGUGGAUUUGUGCUGGGUCUGUUGUAAUUUCACCCUUUUCAUUCCGAAUUGCAUGGAUUUGGGCCUUUUCUUUCCUUUUUCUGACAAGGUUGUCUAAAGGUUUGUCAAUUUUGUUGAUUCUUUUGAAGAACCAACUCUUGGCUUCAUUGAUUUUUUGUAUCGUUCUCUUAGUCUCCAUUGCAUUGAUUUCUCCUCUGAUCUUUAUAAUUUCCUCCCUUGUAUGAGCUUUGAGGUUGUCCUGCUCUUCUUUUUCUAGAAGCUUGAGGUUCAGCAUCAGUUUGUUUAAUUGGGCUCGUUCUGUUUUCCUAAUAUGCGUAUUCACUGCUAUGAAUUUCCCUCAUAAGACUGCUUUCAUUGUAUCCCAUAGAUUCCGAUAUGUUGUAUUGUCAUUGUCAUUUAAUUGAAGGAACUGUCUGAUUUCUUCUUUAAUUUUCUCUGUGACCCAUUGGUUAUUCAGAAGUGUGUUGUUCAAUUUCCACGUGUUUAUGAAAUUUUUUCAGUUUCUUUUGCUAUGGAUCUCCAAUUUCAUUGCACUAUGGUCUGAUAAUAUACAGGGGAUAACUUCAAUUUCUUUGCACUUACUUAAACAUGUUCUAUGUGUGAGUAUGUGGUCUAUUUUGGAGAAUGACCCAUGUGCAGCUGAGAAGAAUGUGUAUUCUGAUUUUGUGGGGUGGAAGACUCUGUAAACAUCUAUUAAGUUCAUUUGUUCAAGAGUUCGAUUGAGUUCUAGUAUUUCAUUACUUAUUUUUUGUCUAGUUGAUCUAUCUCUUUGUGACAAUGGGGUGUUGAGGUCCCCCACUACAAUUGUAUUAGUGCAUAUAUGACUUUUCAUGUCCAUUAGUAAUUGUUUUAUAUAGUUGGGUGCACUAGUGUUUGGUGCAUAUAUAUUUAUGAUUGUCAUCUCUUCCUCUUGGAUUGUUCCCUUUACAAGGAUGUAGUGUCCUUCUUCAUCUCUCUUCAUCAGUGUUGGUUUGAAAUCUACUUGAUCUGCCAAGAGGAUAGCUACUCCUGCUAUUUUUCAGGUUCCUGUCACAUGUAGUAUUGUUUUCCACCCUUUAAGUUUCAGUCUAUGAGUUUCCUUUUGAAUUAAGUGUGUUUCUUGUAUGCAGCAUAUUAUUGGAUUUUGCUUCUUGACCCAUUCUGCCAGUCUAUUUCUUUUGAUUGGUGAAUUGAGACCAUUAACGUUGAUGGUUAUUACUGAAAUGUAUUGACUUGUCAUUGCCAUGACUUUUUCUUUUUGUUGGGUUCUCCCCCUUUCCAUUUAAUUUCUUGUCAUGCCAGAUGAGUUCAUUCUGCUUUGCUUCCUGGGGUUGUGAUCCUCAAUGUCUGUUCCUAGGAUAUUGUGUAAAAUUCCUUGGAGUGCUGGUUUGGCGUUCACGAAGUUCCUAAGGUGCUCUUUGUCAUGAAAGUAUCUUAUUUCUCCAUCCAUUUUGAAAGAUAGUUUUGCAGGGUACAUCAAUGUGGGUUGGAGACUGUUUUCUUUUAGGGCUUGGAGUAUGUCACUCCAAGCUCUUCUUGCCUUGAUGAUUUGUGUUGAGAAGUCUGCUAUGAUUCUGAUGGGCUUUCCUUUGUAUGUGAUUUGUUUCUUUUCUCUGACUGCUUGGAGAAUUUUGUUCUUCUGUUGUGUUUCUGGAAUCUUUACAAUUAUAUGCCUAGUGUAGAUUUUUUUUUGAUCAAGGCUAUUUGGAGUCCUAUGUGCCUCACUUAUCUGUAUGUCAAGCUCUUUUCCUCUGCUUGGGAAGUUUUCUGCCGUUAUUUCUGUGAAGAGAUUUUUUUAUGUCAUCUCCACUUUCUCCUGUUUCUUCAUUGACUCCAAUCAGUCUUAUGUUAUUCUUCUUUGCAUCAUCUAGCAGCUGCUGGGUUGAUUUCUCAUGUUCCUUUAUAAUUUUGAAACAAUUUUUCUUUUCCUGGUCACUAAUUCCAAUCUUACCUUCUGUAUCUGAAAUUCUGUCCUCACAUUGGCUCAUUCUGCUGUGUAGACUUUCAAUGGAGUUUUUCCUGUCCUGGAAAUCUAUUUGUAUGUGUUUUACGGAUUCCAUUUGUUUCUUAUGUUGGAAUUCCAUCAUGUUCCUUAGCUCCUCUCUAGAUUUAUUAAUCAUGUCUUGCACUAGGGGCCCAAUUUCUCCUGUUAUCUGAGAAAUUAUUUCUGAUUUCAUUUUAUCCAGAUCCCCUUUUGUUUCCAGUUCAGUGGGUCCAGGUGGUUGAGCAUCAGAGUGUUCCAUCUUAUUUCCCUUUGGGGUUGCUGUAGGUCAUCUGGAAGUCUAGUUUUGAGACUUAUUUACGUGUUUUCUUAUUUCGACUGGGGCUUGGGACUGUUAGUGCCUGCACGGAUUACCUCCUCUGAGCUGGGAGAGGUGGGACAGGGGCCUGGAGCAGUGGUAGGGAUGGUGACCCAAAAGCCCUUUCCUGUGGGCUGGGAACAGCGGGAGGGAUGGUGACCAUGAAGCCCCUUCCUCUGGACCAGGAGCAGUGGAAUGGUGGCUCAGAAGCCCCUACCUCUGGACUGGGAGCAGCGGGACUCAGUACCUUGGUCUGGUUUUCUGGUGUCCUCUGCAUCUUUGUAGGGUGGAACCAGGUGGCUUCCUGUCUGCAGCAGGGUGAUUCCGCAUCUUCUGUGCGACUCGGGACCUCAGUAGGUCGUGCACAGACCUGCCUGUCUGAAGCGGGCUGAUUUGGAAUCUUCCGCGUGACCAAAAAUAUUGUUUUUUCUACCUUUCAUUUAUUUUUAAUAUAAUACAGAGUCCACCAAAAAAUGUAUACACACUUCCUGAAAAGAAAUCUUGUAUGAACAUUUUAGUACUAAAUUUAUUGAGCCAUCAUGAGAUUAAUUCAAGUUACCUUUGGCCUCUAUAAUUACAAGAGGUGCUCAAAGUGGAGGCCAUGAGCUUCCAGACAUUUAUUAGUGCCGUGAACUCUGGUUGGGUAACCUUGGUCAUUGAGAUUGCUGCACAUGCAUUUUCAAUUUCUUCUCUAAGGGCCAGAAGUGUAGUGGGUUUUUUGCAGUACAAUAUCCUUUAGUGUCCCCCAUAUGAGGGUAACACCAUUUGUUGAAUAAAAAAACAUACUAUUUUUUUUCCUAAAUUAUGUAUACAUUUUUUGGUGGAUUCUGUAUUUAUUCACUCUGUUGUAAAAGUAAUACACCAUCAAUGUAGACGUAUUUGGAAAACACAAAUAAAUGAAGAAAAAGACAAAAUCAUCUAUGAUAUUUUUACUAACAAUGAAAGAUAAUAAAUUAUUAUUAAUAGUUUGAUAUAUAUGCACCAAAACUUAGGUUUAUGCUCCAAAUGUAGUUGUGGAUUGGCCAUCAAUAUAUUAUGAACAUUUGUUUUUGUUGUUUGUUCAUAAUUUUGCUAUGAUGUGUGAUUUUUUAAUUUAUCAUAUAGUGUUCCAUGCAAUGUAUGUGUUAUAAUUUACCUAGCCAAUUUCUUCUUGUACAUGCACGUUACUUCAACUGUUUCUGUAUUUAAAAUAAGCUAUUAUAAAUAGUAAUGUGGUAACAUUUUUAUGAACAUCUCUGAUCGUGUCUGUAGGAUAAAUUUCUAUUAAGUAGAGUAGAUGCGUCACAGAUGUAUGCAUUUUUGAGGCUUUUAUUACUCUCCCAUUUAUUUAUUGCUGUUUUUGUAUCAGCAAUUUCUUUAAGUAUCUGUUUGGUCAUAUUAAUAUCAAUUUUUUGGCAUAAAACCUUUUUGGGGUCAAAGAAAAGCUAUUAGUGGUCUGAGAGGAAUGAGCACAAAGAGGUGAGAAGAGGUCAACAGAGGUAAGUGAUAUUUUUGUCCAAGAGAUGUUGCAGGCUGCCAAAACUAGGAAGAGCAGCUUUUUCCAAAGUAACUGUGUAUUUUCAAAGAUGGCCCAGAUGCUAGGUGCUAACUUGGCACAAUUGAAAUGUCCCCAUUUGCUGUAAGGCAGUAGCCUGACCCUUCAAGCACACUUUGUGUAUUCACUGAUUAAGAUCACUUACUCUACUAAUCAUUGCACACAGAAAAGAUUUGUAUUCAUCACUCACUAUAUUCUCCUACUCAAGUGUCAUGAAACAUUCAGGGUAUAUUAACUGGCAAAUGCACACCUGGAGUAUGUUGCUUAGCUUUAGAAACUGCUUAUUUUUAAAAAAAAUCAAAUAUUGAAUUUUAAGGAAAAAAAUGAGUUUUGGAUUUGAGUGUGUAUAUCACCUUUCAUUUUGGCCCAAUUAACCCAGCAGGUGUGUGUAAAUUAGGUCAGUACUUUGUCACCGUGGUAACGUGUUGAGGAGGUGGAUCUUAACCACCUCUAGCACAGGUGAUGUUGGCUGAGUUAGUACUAAGAGGUGCUUUAGAAACAAACAAGGUAGAAUUUAGUUUGUUAGAAUGUAAAAACAAAAAAAUCAGUCUGAUCCCAGGUUUCAGUAGAUAAUUCUCUAUGACAUGUAAACAAAUACUACCUUAAAUCUGUAUUAACAAGGAUAAUCUCAUGAGUCUUGGAAUCCAAAAUUUCACAUAAGCCAAGUAUAGUGUCUCAUGCCUGAAAUCCCAGCACUCUGGACGGCUGAGACAGUAGGAUUGAAAAGUUUGAGCUUGGCCUCAACUUAGUGAUUUUGCAGGUGGUGCUGGGGGUAUAGCUUAGUGUGAAGGUGCCCAUACCCCCCCCCCACACACACACUUCAUAUAAAAUUGGCUCAGUCUAUGAAAAAUAUACACUACACUACAGCACUCAUGAGGUAAUGGCCUCAUUUUCUCAUGGUCAGGGGGAUUUGGGGCCUUCAGUCAGUUCUUUGAGAACUAAGCCAUGGUUUUCAGCUGGUCGGAGAAUUCCUGACUCCUCACUUCAGUGCCUAAUCUAGUUAACAUCUAGAGUUUUUUAAAAGUAUAGUGUCCGAUCAUUUAAGCGCUAUUUUUGAUCAAUAUUCACAGUUGUUUCUGGGUUAAGAAGUUGGCAGAGUUGAUCUAUGCCAGCAGUCCAGUACUGUUACUGUCUCUAACUCAGGCUUCUUCUCACCAGGUGGAAAAUCAAACAUGCUUCAAGAUUGCUGGUAGAAAAUGUGCAAUCUGUUUUGCUGCUGAAGGUUCCAAAUCAUGUGGGCAUUCUGCAGCCUCAUGGUGUGGUAGAAUUUCUUCACUUAUCACUGACAAGUUCACACCUUUUUGUCAUUAAAAUUGUAAAUAUGCAUUAUCAGAUGCAGAAAACAGGCCAAAUUAAUGAUAUUACAUAUAUUUUCCAAGAAAGCAUCUCCCAUGAUCACUUUCCACACUCAGAUGUGAAAGAUAUUUCCACUGAGCCUGUUGUGCCAAUUUAUAUGUGGCUUUAUGAUUUUUCAGUUUUCCUGUGCUCUACUUAUAAUUUUGAAGGAUUUUUGUAUACCACACUUCAUUUUUUGGUGAUAUUUCACAUGUGACAUUUCAGAAACUUGAAUCCCCCUAGUGUUUAUUUUCAGUUGGUUUUGGCCACAGCUUUAUUACUUAUUUCAUGUGUUUUCAAUGGUUAAUAUUUACAAAACACUGAACAAACUCUUCAAGAUUGCUUUCUGUAAUCUCCCUCUCUGUGUAUCAAGAAUGAGGUAACCAGAGAAGAGGCAUAGUGACUCACCCCAUGUCACAGAGUAUGUGAAUUCACUUUCAUAGGAGAACCAAGGGUCCCUGGCUUUCAAGUUUGUUUCUUUUUUUGUAUUCCCAAGAUGUCAUACAGGUUUGGAGAUUUAUAAAAGGAAAGCAUUCCUGUGUAGAGAAACAGUUGACUCAAGUAUUCUUUAACUUCUCUUUUAGCAUAUACUCCCUCUUUCUGUUCCUUUUCUUUCCUGUCAACUCUUGGUUGACUGUGAAAACCAUUUCUUCUUGAAGAGCUGGUUUAUACAAUAAAUACCUGAGGUCUCAGUAAAGUCUAUUAACUUGUUAAGGGAAUGGUGGGUAUGCAUUGUUCACUGGAGAGCAGUAUAUCAUAUUCUACCUCGUCUCUUUGGAAAGAAAGCUAGUGGCAGCACACAUUAGCAUUGGACCAGAGCUUUGUCACAGAAGAAUCAUAGGUUGUUUCAGAAAUAAGACACAAAACAAAAUACAUGAAAGGAUUGAAUUUACCAGAGGUAAUAAAGGAAGUUUUGGUAGAUUCAGGGAACUUGAACCCCUGAAUUGUAGUAACUAAGCUGGAGGUGGGGGUAGAUAGUUAAAGUAAUUUCUUUCCUUGUUUGAUGAAAUAAUUUUGGGUCUUUUAGGUAGCAUAUUAGAGAGAAGGUGAGAGAGAGACAGAGAUAGAGACAAGAAAGAGACAGAGACAGGGAGAGAAAAACUUGGUAUAUCUGAAACAAAGAGCUUACACAGUCAUCGAGCUGGUUGGUUUUUAUACCUUCCUUUACCAAGUAUUGUCCUUCAGUACAAUACAAAGCCAUUUCUUUGUUCUCACAAGCUAGCAGUUAAAUUGUAUGUAAAUGUAUGCAAAUUAGAUGCUGUCUAAUAAAGAGAGUCAUUAGAUGGAAGAAAUAUUUAGUUUAGGAAAAAAAGCAGGUGUAUUGUGUAAAAGAAAAUGUAAGGCUACAAAAAAGCCCAAACUUUUGUGGACAGUUAUAGAAAAAAUUAUUAAAAUGGAUUUUUUUAAAGACUUAUGUCUUCCUGACCUUUCCUUUGUGCUUAUAUAUAUGUGUGUGUUUUAAAAAUAUUUACAUAUAAAACUAGGGGAUUGGCUUCUUUCCCAGAUUUACUGGAAGUACCUUCACGAGGAACAUUUGGACUUGAAUAAUCUCCACAGCAGCAUUUUCUUUCUAGAAUUAAAUGAAUUGUAAAAUGGAUGAUUGGCCCAGGAAUACUGAAUCUUUAUUUGGGUUCCUUAUUUGGGUUGAUAGAGGCCAAGUGGUCCCAGGUAUUUUGCAGUUGGUCAUUUUAGCAAUCUUAAGAUUUACUUGUUACACUUCUCGACCCCAAACUCUUAAGGGCUAAUAUAAAUUCCUUAAAAAAGAUAUGAGAAUAACCAACAGUUCCUUUUGAAAUUAAUCAAUGCUGUAUUGAAUGUGUAGCACAAUACCUACCAUUUACCAGACACCAUAUUUUUAAAAUUACUAAGUGAAUAAUUGGUUUCAGUAGUCAGAAAAGUGGUUAUAGGUAUAUCCAACACCUUUCUUUUCUCCGUCAUAUAGUUAGUAAAGCAAUUCCACAGGAUUGCCUAUAGCACUUCUAUGAUGAAUACAUAGUGAAAAACAUGUUUCACUGUCCAGUUCCUCAAGCCAACUGUAACCAAAGUGUUUUGUGCUCAAGUAUCACUCAUCAUGGGAGGUGUUUGUGGGGCAUAGAAUAAUAGGCAUAGUAGUUUCUCUCUUGGAGCUCGUGGUCUACCAAAGGAAUCAGACAUACAAAUUCUCCGUGCAUGACAAAAUUUAAAAUAUAGUCACAGAUACAGUAUUAUGGGAGCACGAGAGAUAAAGAGAAAUUCUAACUGAAGGUUAUCAGAGACAUCAGUGUGAACUUUAGAGACCUAGAAUGGAAUACCUCAUAUGUGGGUAGUUUGUUACAAUAUGAAAAGCACUUGGCUAAAGUUUUAUUUCACUUUACUAUAGUAACCUUUUAGGUAGCAUAAUUGACAUUAUUUUUCCAUUUUACAGAAAAGAGAACUGAGAUUCUCAAAAGUUGAAUCUCUUAGCCAGGAUGACAAAAUAAAUGACAAAGCCAAAUGUUCCUGUUAAGUUGUCUAGUUCUUUCUGUUUACUUCAUUAUCACCCAGAAGAAAUACAUGGAAUAAUUCUAUGGUAACACAAGCACCAUACAUCUUGGUUUCUAAUUUUAUUCAAACAUUAUGUCUCCCUUUUUUUAUCUGGUACCAUGGGUAAAGUGUCUAAGACCAAAACUGAAGGGAGACAUGUAUUGGCAAGAAACUGAUUAUUUUGGUAAAUGAGAAUGGAUAAAAAAAAAUAAUGAGUCUAGACAUUGAAAGAAUUUUAAUCUGUUUUCUUGACUUUUGAGUUAAAGAAAAGAUUUCAAUGUGAAGGUGAACAAUAGUCUGCACUGUACUAAUCUUAGAGGUAACCAAAAGGCUGUGGGACUAACAGCUUUUGAUAUACUUAGUGCUUAUUAUUGUUAUUAUUAUUAUUUCUUUUUAAUUAUGCAAAGUGCUAAUCAGUUUGAUUAUGCACAGUGCUAAUCAGGUUAAUUAUGCAAAGUGCUAAUCAGUUCUUCUUGAAGCACGAGAGGAGAGCAGAGGUGCUGGCGGUGAAUGGCGUAGCUAGAUGCGGGUAGUCACGGCAGUCAUUCCUUAUUAAGAUAGGAGUAGACAAGAUAGCAAGAGGAAUUUAUCCAUAAAAAUAAAGAGGAAAAGAAAGAAAACUAUGAGUACAUGAAAGAUUAUGGCUUUGGCAGGACAGCACUUAAACAUAGAAAGCUUUUUCCCCCCUGUUGCAUACCUCGGUUGGAUGGUUCUGCUACAUUUUGAAGGCACUCAUUUGAAGCCAAAAAGACUGCAGAGGGAAAGAAACAGAGUAUUGUAUAGCUAGACAAGUUGUCAAAACAACUUAUUGUAGUUGGCAAGCACCAAUUCCUAGGAGGACAGUAGAGGAAGUAGAAUCUAAUAGACCUAUACAUGAAAGAGGAUAUCAGUAAAGAGAAUUGAAAAAUUAAGGGAGUGCCAUUCUGAUAAAAUAAACAAGACCAUCUCACUAUUGCAUUGUUAUUUGGACGGGCAUCUGUGUAGCAUAUUUCCUGAGGUGAUCUGAGGGCUGGCUUCUUGGUAGUGGCAGUGGUCUCUAUUGAGUGUGGUGAUGACGAAUAUGGUAACAAAGGUUUUAUGUAAUAGCUCCUAGUUGGAUAAGCUUUGUUGCUGCUGAAAUCGAAGUGAAUUUUAAUAUUAACUUGCAGGUCUGUGCUUAUUAAGCUGGGUGACUUCCUGUGAAGACGAGUUUAUAGCAGUAUGUUCAUACAUUUUUAUAGAACAAUGACCAUGGAGCUCCCGUAGGAAAGCCCUUUUUAUUCAGCCCUCCUGUUCUCUUCUGUGGUUUGAUAAGGUAUCAAUGAAAUGUUACGAUAUCUACUUGUUUGAAUAUAUUCAAAGAGCAGAAAGCAUUUCAGGAUACUAAGUGAAUAUUCAUGUUUUAAAAAAUGUUUCCAGUCUAUGUGACUUCUUCUUACUCUAGAAUUUGAGCAGAUUUCUAAGUACAUUAUAAAAAAAGGGGAUCUGCUUCUCCUUCUAUAACUUGACAGUGUUUAUUUACUUUUCCUUUUUUAUUUUUAUUUUUAUUUUUUGGUACUGGGGAUCGAACUCAGGAACUUGCGUUUGUGAGGCAGGAGCCGGAACCACUGAGCUAAAUCCUCAGCCCCUACUUUUCCUUUUUUAUAUCCAUCUCUAAGCACAACUCAUCUUCAUAGGUGGCUUAAAUGAACAUGAUUUCUGGAAAUGUCCAAAUAAUGAUAAGAAUGCACCAGAGGCAAAACCAUUGCUGGUGUCUCCAGAAUAUGGCAUAUUAAUGAGUUAUUUGUCCGGCUAGGAUUCAGUGUUGAAUAAAAACAGGCUUUCAGUUUUCAUGUUUUUCUUUAAUGGGACCAAUUUCAUUUUAAAAUAUGAAAAGAAUGACAUAAAUCUUUGAUUUCCAAGGAGAGUCUGUAAAGAAAUAGAUUGUUAGAAGACAGCACCCACAAAUUGAGAAAGCCUGUUGGGGGCCCUUUGAGAAUUUGGCUGGAAAAUUCUGUUAUAAGCAGUCCUUCUGCUCAGCUUCAUGGGAACAUGAUUUUAGAAAUGAAACAUUGAUUCUAUGUGUCCCAGCUAUAAAAACUAAGAUGAAGAUUAAAUGUUCAUAUUACCACUUUAGCAAAAUGUUUUUAGUUAUUUCAUAAUAAUUUUUAAAACUUUUCUUCAUUAUUUCAUAAAAAGUACGUUAUAAGUUCCAUUUAUUCAUUAUAUACUAACUUCUUUUUUUGUUGUUAGUACAAACACACAAGUUUAGAUAUCGUUUUGUUUCUCAUGUCAGAAACCCAAGGUAUAUUAAAUUCUUAAUUCCUGAUGAAGGCAUUUGAAGCCAGAGACCUUGCUUGUAAGGCAUUUAUAAUAUCACUAGAAUGUUUCAAGUAAAAACUUAUAUGAUCAAAAAAUGUAAAAGAAUUUGGUAACAACUGACUGUUAUGGGCAGUUUCCUGAUUAAUUAUUACCUUUGUACUCAUAUCAUAGACACUGUCGUACAUAACCUAUUCAUUCCAUCAUUAAAAUGAUGUUAUUUGAACACUUGGUUUUUCUGUUGCUGUUGUUGUUUUGUUUUGGUUUUUUGGUACCAGGGAUCGAACUCGGGUCCUUGCGCAUGCGCAGCAGGCGGCGAAACCACUGAGCUAAACCCCUGGCCCUGAACACUUGGUAUUUAAAAAUAUGUACUGUGUGCUAGUGACAGUUUCAUGAACUCUCCUGGAUAUUUGAAAUACAAUUGGUCAAAAACAACACAAAAUACUGGGCAUCAUGGAGCUCGCCCACACUAGAUAUUUUGCUCAUAAUUUUGAGCCUUAGGGACAAAGAUUUGUAUUUUACUUCUUAAAAUUUCUCUUCUUAGUAAUCUGUAUGAUUCAACUGCUAAGCUUUACUAUCUUAAAUUAUUCAAAAAUUAAAAGGUUGGACUAGAAUGAUUUUCAACUUGACCUAAUAUCAUAAACAUUAGAGUCUAUUAGCUGAUUAGACUAUAAAAUGAAUUUAUCCUUUGUUAACAUAUGACAAGCCUUGGAAUCAUAAAAAGUUCCUUUACACUUUGGUCUUUUAGAAAUAAGUAAUUUUUAACUAAUCCAGUGGACAUUUUCUCUUUAGAUUUAGACCAAAUUUUAUUGUAGAAAAGGGCGGACAUUGGAGUAAUCUUUGGUUUCAAUCCUAGCUCUUCCUGUUACUAGCUGAGUAAGUCAUAACUUCUUUGAUCCUCUGUUUCUUCUUAGUUCCUAUCCCAAAUGGUGGCUAUGUCUGUUUAUUGAAAUAAACCACAUGUUCACUGAACUCACUGUCCAUUGAUGCACUGGAACCAAGCUUGCUCCAUAGUCAGUCCUUUUUUAUUUCUCAAAACUAUAGCUGAUCUCACCCUACUACUAAAAAAUUCCUUGUACUAAUUUUGCUUCCUUUCCCUAAGCUGCUUUUUCCUGCAUUGAACCUUUAUUUUAAUUAACUCAGUAUUUUCCCUCCCAUUACAUCUUUCUUAAAAUUUUUACUUUUAUUUUUAUUAUUUCAUGUUUGCAAUAUAUGAUGAUUACAUUUAUUGUGUGGAAUUGGCAACUCUUUUUAGUUUUAUUUCUUCUUGUGCUUCUUAUGUUCUUUGACCCCCUUCCUUGUUUAUGCUCAGUCAAUUUUUGGUUACUUAUAUUUACCAUAUAUAGUGUAGUCUUGAUUAUAACAACAAUAAAUAGUGUGUACAACUCUAAUUCAAAUCAUAAGCAGAAAUAUGUUGCCUCCAUCAGAGCAAUAUUAUUUUUGUUUAGUUUCUGACUUCUUGACCAUAAAGGAAAUUUCUGGACCACAAGGGCCAUGUCUUAAAUCUUUAUAUUUCUAGUAUCUAGCUGUGCUCUACCAAUAAGAGUCCCACAGUCUAACUAGGCACAAGAACUUUAAAGCAGAAAGACAUAUGAUCUAUUAACAAGUGAAGUGUCACAGAAUUGGAGAUUUGGGGAAAACUUCAUAGAACAGGUAUUGAGAAGUCUUCUUAGAGAAAAUAAUGUUUGAAUGUGAUCUUUUUUAGAAAAAGUAUUUUAAUUUUUCCCCAGUUAAAAGAGAAGGGAAUGCAUUCUAGACAGACAGGAAAAUAUGGAAAACUCAUGCAUACAAAAUGUUGACAGGUAGCUCUUCAGAAACUAAAUUAAAAUGGGAUUGUUUUUAGUAUAGAUUUCUGCUUGGCUGCUAUUUCUUUGGAUCUAAACUAGGCAUUCUGUGGGCCACAACUUUGUUCCCACAUUCCCACUGCCAUCACCAACACAUUGCACAAAGGAAAUAAGGGUCAUAAUUUUUAAUAUUUCACAAGUAAUUGGUAGAUUUCUGGGAUUUGUGCUCGAUUUAUCAGUUGUUCCUGAUGUUACAAUUAAAACCAUAAAAAUAUGAGAAUGAGGAGGAUGGUCAACUUGAUUAUGUGAUUCAUACCAGAUGACAGUCCCCUCAAGAUGACACUGAUUUCUUCUGCAUUUUGCUACAUGCUGUAUUAGUCGGUCUUCCUGUCACUGGGAAACAAUACUUGACUCCCACAGGUUACAAAGAAGAGGUUUAAUGGUUUCAGGGGAUUCAGUAGAUGGUGAUAUAGGUCCAAAGAAUAAACAUCAUGGUGAAAGAGUGUGACAGAGCAAAGAUGAUCAGUUCAUGAAAAUCAUCAGGCAGAGCAGAGAACAUCAACAGAGAAGAAAGGAAGCAAUGUCCAUAUAUAGUGCCCAGGGUCAUGCCUCCAUGACCCACAUGGAUGCACCAAAAGUUGUGCUUUACUAAUCUGUUAGGCAUUUCUCAAUCCAAUCAAGCUUAUGUCAGAAUUACUGAUCACAAAUGUUAAUUUUAAUUCAUGUUUUCUACUUGUUAGGGUUCAGAUAAGCAAACCAGUUCCAUAUUAACCAUAACAAAUGUGUGCUCAGUUAAAAUAAAAAGACUUUUGGGUAUUAUUGUCUUUUGGAGUAAUCUUUGGAGUUUUAGUUGGCCAAUCAGUGAAGAUCUCAAUAAAAAAUUUUGGCAAGUAAAAUAUUAUCCAUUAAAACAACAUUAACUAAUAUUGUAAUUCAGGUAUUAAAGUUCCACAAGUAUAGCUCUUUGAGGGUUGAAAUUAUUCUUUGUAAGAUUGACUAGCCACCACUGACAUAGGUGGAUGUGUUUCACUUGAUGUGUCUGUAAACUUGAUGUGUCUGCCAACCUGUGCUAGAAUUCCAAAGGCAGUGUGAAUAUUUCCAAACAUUAACUACGCACUUUUUAAAAGUAGGUUUUAUAUAUUGUCAAAUGUUCAUUUUGGAGAUUUUCUUCUUCUUUUUAAUGUUGGCAUUAAGAAAGAGUGCAUACAUCAUAUAGUUACAUUUAUGUUCUUUUAAAAGAAGAAAUUCUGAGCAAUGCAAUAGUAAGCAUAUGGCUACACAAAGAUUAGAAAAGCUGUGGCCAUCAGGAAUAAAUAUUGGUAAUAACACUGAUGGAAUUUCACACAUACAGUUUAUUGUGAGAAAAGAAAGAUUCACACAGAACUUAGAUAAGGAAAUAGGCUUGCUUUUAAUGAAACUAUAAAUUAAGUAAUUUUUUAACUAAAUGAUGGCCUGUGAAAUUUGGCUUCCUGUUCUACUUGAAACACUUUAGAUCAGAUGGAUUUUUUCCUACCGUUCUUAUCAGUACUUAGUCUAGUGUUACUGGUUAAGUUUCUAUAGCAAUCCAACAUUUUAAAUCAAUAAAAUAUCUCUGAAUAGUGAAAUGUAUCACUGCUAUAAACACUUCUAUGAUGUAAAAAAUGCGGAAACGACAUGUCUGGAUAUAAAGUAAAAUAGUUUUAGAUGUGUUGUUUGGUUGGUUUUUGUUUGUUUGCUUUUAGUUUUAGUUUAGUUUAGUUUUGUUUUGAGCUUUGUUUUCAGCCUAGUAAGAAUAAAGGAAAAGAUGAAAUCUUUAGUUUCUGAAGCUAUGGAAAACACCUCCUGGUCUUACUUUUCUGUCUUUAACACAUAGAUAUUUAAAGAAGCAUUACAAGAUUUUUGAACAGUUUCUGUUAUUUACAGUUUUUGAAUAGGAACCAAAUCAGACUUUCACUGAGAAAUAGAGUUGAAUUUGCCACUAAAGUGGAGCUCAGAGAAGAAUUUUUUAAAAUCUUAACAGUUAUCUUUCUUUGAGUAUUUCAUAAGAAUAUUGGAAAAAGUACUUUGAAAGGUACCUACUAUGAUCCUGUAUCUAAUAUAGAAACUAUGAGUAUAAGAAAGGAGAGGAUUUAAAAUUCAAUUAAAUGUGACAGUUACUGUAAACACCCCUCUCUCUCUCUCUCCCUCUCUCUCUCCCUCUUUCUCCACCCCCCCCCCCGUCUCUCUCUCUCCACCAAAACAUGUAUACACAUUUCAGGAAAAGAAAAACUUGUGUAAAUAUAUUAAUACUAAAUUUAUUGAGACAUCAUGAGAGUAAUAUAUUACCUUUGGCCUCUACAAUUACAAGAGGUGCUCAAAGCAGUGGCCAUUGGCUUCCAGACAUUUAUUGUUUUGGCGAACUGCUGCUUGCAUAACUUUGGUCCAUUGAGAUUAUUGUACAUGCGUUUUCAUUUUUUUUUUCUCUAAAGGCUGGCUAUAUAGUAGUUUUUCUGUAGUAUAUGCCAUCCUCUAGGUGCCCCCAUACAAGGGUAACACUGUAUGUUGAAAAAAAAUCAUACUACUUUUCUUUUCCUGAACUGUUAAUACAUUUUUGGCAGUAUAUAUAUAUUAUAUGUGUGUGUGUGUGUUUGUGUUCUAAAUUGAUGUUAACUCUAUUUAGGAAAAUAAGAAAGCACUCAGCUGAAUAUUAUUGUCAUAUAAUAGACAAAAUAAAUUUGAACUGGUAAGAUGAUAGUGAUGAAGUUGAAAAAUUUGGUCUUGAUGUAGUUAGUAAAGGAAAACUACAAAUGCAAAUGACACUGAAGGAAGGACUAUUUUAAUAUUCUGAAUGAGUAGCCACAAUAGAUAUUGAGGAGAUACACAACAGAACAUGGUUUCAGUAUUAGGCUUAAUUAAAGCAAGAUUUGGGCAUGUACUCUAAGGAAUUUUUAGAUACCAUUUUUUCUUUUACCCAUGCAUUAAUGCUGCAUUACAAUAAGCAAAAAUUGGGCAUCUAUAAAUCUUUCCUUUCUUUCAACAUUGACAUAUCUUCAGUAGCCUCCUAAUUUGAGAUCAUUUGAAUUUUUGGAGCAUGGAUAUCUCUGGAAUAAACAGUUCUUCUGAGGUAGCUCAGGUUCAUAGCAAAGGAAGUUUUAUGAAAUCAUAAUACAGAGUAAUCAAAACAUUUUUAUCAUAUAGGACUUUUUGCCUAAAUUAAAAGGUCACUGUUAAUUAAAUUGGUUAUUUGAAACUUCUCUCCUUUCUCAUCUUUCCUCCCCUACCUGCCAGUUAUUUCAUACUGAAUUCCCAUUAUAAGAGUAAAAAUGAUCAAAGUAACCUCUGCACAUUUUACUGUGAAAAAUAUUUUGAGGAAUUCUAUUGGUACGAGCCAAUGGAAGAUGACGGUUUGCUUAUUAAAACAAGUUUUGAAUGUCCUGUCCUAUUGAUCAUGUGUAAAUAGUAUAAAAAAAAUCUAAUGUAUGGUAGAGAAUUUAUAUUUUCUUUCCUUUUCACCUUUGAGCUUUUAUUUUCUAUUUUAUUUAAAAAUUAAAUUUGCCUUUUUUUUCCUUUGCCAGUGGUGUCAGCUUUCUUGGAUUUUAAUUGAUGAGAGAAAUACAGGUUCCCUGAGACCCAGAGUAAAACUCACUUACUUUCUUCUUGAAAUCAUGAUACUGGCUGUUAUUCUAACAAAACAAAAAUAUUCAGGAAGAGAUUUGGCAGAAAUUGUGUCAAUGAAUGAUGAGCUGGGGUAAUUGAAUUGGUAUUUCAAGAAUACCAGUGUAACUCAUGUGUAAGAAAACUUUAAUUUGCCACCCUAAGAAAGUUUUUAGCUGAAAAUCUCAGGGACACAAUCUAUUUCAUAGACAAGUCUUUUCAGUCCUCAAUAAUUAUCCUUUCUUAUGAACUCAGUGCUCUCAGAAUAUUCUCCUCCUCCUUUGGUCCUGUCUUUCCUCUUGUUUAAGGAUGAUUUUUGAUCGCUUAAUUUCUUUUAUGUUGACUUUUUUUGGAAAAUACUUUAAGAAACAUUGAUGGAUUAUUUCUGUCUGGUAAGCAUGAUGUAUUUUACAUGCUGUAUUGGUCAGAGUUCUUCAGAGAAACAUAACCAAUUUUAUGUACACAUAUUUGGAAAGAAUUUUGUAUAAGGAAUUGACUCAUAUGAUUAUAGAGGCUGGAGGCCAGGAGAGCCAAUGAUAAAUUUCUAAUUUUAACUUAGUUCAAAGGCUAGAGUAUUGAUGGUGUUCCCAGUCUGAAAGCUUGAAGGCUUGAAGGCUUAAGAUCCAGGAAGAACUAAUGCUUUAAUUUCAGUCUGAAUGCAGAAAAAUCUUAUAUUCCAACUUAAAGUUUGUAAAGCAGGAGAAUUUUCAUCUUUCUCACCAAAGAGUCAGCCUUUUUAUUCUAUUUAUGCAUUCAUUGAUCAGAGAAGGCCCACAAACAUAAGGGAGGGUAAUUCUCACUAAUUGGCUACUGAUUCCAAUGUUGGUCUCAUCCAGAACACUGUCACUGACACAACCAGCAUACUAUUUGACCAAAUGUCUGAGCACCCUGUGGCCAGUCAAGUUGACAUACAAAAUUAGCCAUCACACAUAUAUUACCUAAUUUAAUCCUAACCAAAGCACAACUCAAAGCUCUGUGAAAUAGUAUUAAUGAUUAUUAGCAAAUUUAGUGGUUAAGAAUACAGUAUAUGAUGAGAUUGCUUUUAUUGAAAUUCUCCUCUUACUACUUACUUUUUAACAAUAGGGAAGUUACUUAACCUAAUCUUUCUCAAAUAAUACUGCAUACAGUCAAUUAUCAGAAUCUGAAGGUUAUAGGUUUGACUCCCACAAGUAUCACAAUCCAUGAAUCUCAAGUGUCUUAUAUAUAAAAUGACAUAGUAUUUCCAUGUAAACCACACACAUCUACUUAUAUAUGAUAAAUCAUCUUUUGAUUACUUAUAAUACCUACUGUUAUAUAAAUAUGUAAAUAUUUAAAACUAUAUAAGUAGAUACUAUAUUGGAUCGUUUAUAAAAUAGUAACAAAAUAUUCUGUAUAUAUUAUUGCUGAUCUGUGGUAGGUUGAAUUCAUUGACGUAGAAGCCCAGAUACAGAGUGUCCACUGGUAAGUUAUUUUGAUAAUUAAAUGAAAUAAUCUUUGUACAAUGCUUAGCCCUGAUAAGUGGAAGUUAGCAUAGUACUCAGUAAAGUUUAGCUUUAAAUACACACGAAAAUAAAUAUUCAUAGUGAUUAAGAGUCUUGCCCAAGGUCAUAUAGCCAGUAAGUAGUAAAAUUAGGAUUUGAAAUUAUGCUGUCAACCUCCAAAAUUAUUCAUUUUAUUAUUUGUCUCUGUUAAUCUCUACAGGGAAGAAGUACAAUGCAAUGGCUAAGGGCUUUUGACUCCAUUGUUUAGAAUCUUGACUCUCUCACUUUGACGAAAGGCUUUAAGCAAGUUACUUAAUUUCUCACUACUUUUGUUUUCUCAUCUUUAAAACAGAAAUAAAACAGUACCUUUCCCACCAUAACACAGAAUCAAAUAAUUUUUAGGAAUAUCUUUUUCUAUGAACUUUAAAUGAUAGAUUUUCACCACAGGAAGUUUCUUCAUUUACCCUGAAAUUAUGUGGGUUGGUACUGUCAUAGGGAAAAGAUUUAUGAAAUGAAGGAAAUAUUGAAAAUAUAUUAACAUAUUCUUAAUAUUACAAGUGACUGUUUCACAAUGCAUUUCUUCAGAAAGGUUUUUGUGUGUGUGUGUGAGGGUAAAAAUAAUGGCUUUCAUUCAGGAAUAAUUGUAUAACAUGAACUUGAAACCAAUGGACAGGAAAUGGAACCAAGUCUAGGAGGAAUCCUUGAUAAAAUGACAGCAUUUAGACAUCUUUUUUGUGAUUCUCUUUUUCCUUUUAAUAGAAGCACUGUAAGGUCCACCACCUAAGACCAAAUAUUUCCCUCUAUUAUAUGACAAGAAGACUCAGAAUUUUAAAAUGUUGUAUCUGAAUUCUCAUCUGUCAACCAAGAGCAGCUGAAAGUCACGAGCCUUGGAGAGCUUUCAUACUUAUGUAUUUGUUUUUAGACAAAUGUGUUUGUUUGAAGGUCUAAAAACCAUGGAAAUAGGCACCAUGGAAAUGCAUAGUUGAGAGUAGAAGCUCUAGCAGUAUUGACUCAAUCUUUGAUCUUUCUGUGUGAUGAAUUAAAUGCCACAUGCUUCAGUUGGCUGCGUAUUGGGUCUUUCAGCAUUGUUCACAGUAAAUACAAUUAUGUAGGAAGGAUAAGAAACUGAAUUUUUAAAGAAAUUAAUGUGAGAUUGGUCGUCAUUUGGCUGGUGCUUAUGGAAAGACAACUCCAGAGAAAAUUGUGGAAAAUCAUUCUUCCCUAUAAAUUUUUAUACCCAUAAAAUAAGAUUAAAAUUAAUAUCAAGACCAGCCUUCAAGGGGAAACAUAAAAUCCAUAUGUAAUUUGAAGGAAGUAUAAUACUAAAUACUAUAUAUAAGUAUAAUAAUAUAAUACUGUUACUUUCUUACUUCAAAGUGACCAAAAAAACUGUAAGCAUUUUACCCCCAACACUUGUUCACUCCUCGGUGCCUUUUAAAAUUUAACUCCUGUAGAGAGUUAGAAACCUGUCUUUUCUGAGUUCUUCUAUGUAUUGCCUGCAGCCUAUCUGCCUCCUACAAUUUGGAGUCUUAACAGUAGGCAACAGUUGUGGAUAUCAUAUUAAAACUAUCAGAAUCAGAUGAAAAUUUUAUGGUAACCAGAAGAUGGAAAUGUCCUCUCUUUCAUAAGAUAACAGUUACUUAUUGUAUCCUUUUUGUUUUCAUUGAAUUACAAGAAUUAUAAGAAUUACUUUUUUGACAAUUGACAUGAACAACGUUAUUCAAAGGAAACAUGCUUAAGAAAUAGAGCAGGAGGGAAAUUGUAAUUGAGUCUGCAAACCUUUUUUACCUUGGCUAAAUAAAUAAGAAAUGAUAACAGGCACAAUAUAAUAAAAAUGAGAAAUACAGGUUCAAGCAUGAUGUUUUAUUUAACUCCAUUUAAUCUUAUAGGGUGGAAUUUGAUAGAGACCAUGUCAGUGGACAUGUUUAUAAAGAUUGUCAGUGGAAUACCUGGGGCUAUUUUAUUAUUGUUAUGAGUAUGUACAAACAGAAAAGGAAUGCUAAAUAAUUCUGAAUGUAAUAGUGAUUUUAAAUAUCAAAUUCAGUUUUCCAAACUCACAGAGCAUCAGGUGGAAGCAGAUCUGUCAUUUGUAUCUAAUUCCUUAUUCUAAUAUACUAGAAAAUCAAAUAUAUCAGUAUCAUGUUGCCUUUGCCAACAGGUGUUUAGAAUGUUUUCCCAGCAUUGCUGAACUUCCAGCUAGAAGAUAUAUGUUUCAUAUUUAGAGGAAGGAUAAGACUUACGUUGAGAGUCUAGCAAUGCUUCAGCAUCGAAAUUAAGGAUCAUUAGCCUCUUUCAUUUUAUUAUAAAAGAGAGGCUUCUAUAACAUGUCUGGAGAAUCAGUUUGCAUUCAGAAAUAUUCACAAAAGCUGUGCUUUGUGUCUUUUAACCAGAGAAAAUGAACUGAGGUUAUUUUAAAAUCCUUAAACAUCUCAAGUGAAUUAUCAGAAUAAAAUAAAUCCAACUAUGUGUACUCCUCAACAAAAUAUAUUUUAGUGAGUUAUAUUCUGAGAGCAUUUGCAUAGUGUACAGUGGUAGCACAUUUUACAUUUCAACUGUGUAACCACAAUUGAGGUGAUCGACCUUUGUGGCAGGACUGUUCUAAUUAGCCCAUAUCUGAUAGGUAGUUUUUAAGGCCUUAUUUAUCUCCUAACUUUUUGUGCACUUAUUUAUUUCAUUUUUAUUGAAAUGGUAUCAUUUUAGUCGCUUUUCUCAUUUCUGGGACAAAAUACCUGACUCACAGUUUAAGGGAGGAAAGGUUUAUUUUGACUCAUGUUUCAGUCCACAGUAGGCUGGCUCCAAAACAGCUAGGCAUAGUGGAAGGGCCUGGUAGAGGAGAGCUGCCUAUGGCUUAGUGUCCAGGAAUGAGAGAGAGAGAGAGAGAGAGAGAGAGAGAGAGAGAGAGAGAGAGAGAGAGAGAGAGAGAGAGUGUCAGUCAAAGGAGGAGCUGAGAAGGGAGAUAUAACUUUCUAGGUCAUGCUUAUAAUGACUUACCUCUUUUAAACGGGCCCCAAAUCCUGACAGUCAGCUGUAAUGCCUCUAUGAUCCAGUCACCUUACAAUGGCCCUACCUAUGAUUGCAUGAGGCUUUAGGGGGACAUCUAGAUAUAAACCAUAACAUUGUGUCCCUGGGUCCCAAAAAUCUCAUGAAAAUCUCUUUAUGCAAAAUGCAUUUCGUCCACCUGUAAGAUUUGGCAAAAUCCUAGCAGUUUUGGCAUUGUUGAAAAGAUGAUGGCAGGAUGGAAGGGAGGGAAAGGGAAUGGGGAAAAAAGAAGAACCAAGAUAUAUCAUGUACCAGUACAAAUUCUCAGUGUUGAAUGUGAUCAUAAUGUUUACCCAAAAUGUACUAAUAAACUUAAUUUUUAAAAAAAGAAAGUCUGAAGCUCAAAGCAAACUCGUAUCUGUGAGCGCCUGUAAAAAUCAAAAGAAAUAUAUAACAGCACAGGGUAAACAUUCUCAUUCCAAUAGGGAGAAAGAGAGGAAUAGAAAGCAGUAGGACCAAAGUAAGAAUGAAACACAUCAUGAUAACAUUAAAUCCCAUUGUUCCAUGUCCAGCACCAUGGGCAAGUGGUGGUUAAAUUCCAACUCCGAACGGCUUGGGUGGCCUCACCCCUACAGCACUGCUAGUGGUUACAACCUUAUGGUUUCUCUCUUGGACAGGCUUUGCUCACUAGUUGUGGCUUUCCUCAGUCGUUUCAUGUACCUGGCUCCUCCAACUUUCUGGGGUCUGCACUGCACUUUCAACUUCAUUCUUACAACUUCAUGCCUUGCCCUCUCGGGCAUACUGCCUCGCUGCAAAGGCCUUCUGAAAUCUGAGUGGAAGCCUUCCUGUCCCCUCAACUCUUGCAGUUCUGCUUGCCUGUAAAAGCAGCACCGUGAGAUUAAGCUUUUAGCCAGGAGUAAGCCAAGCUCCCUUGAAUUGUGGUCACAGAAGUCUCUGAGUUCCUCGAUGGUGAAACACAGUGAACCCAAUCCUGGCAAAUCAGUUCCCAAGGCAUCCCUUUUCAAACAGGGUGCCCUGGAGCUGUCUUCUCAAAGCAGUCUUUCACUUUUCCAUUCUUGAACAGGCAAAGGGAGGGAGGGGUCUUGCUGAUUUCUCAUAUGCCUGCAAGCCAGUUUUCCUAUUGUCUUGAUCCAAAGUACAUAGCUUCUAUCAAUGCUAAUCUUUUCAGCAACCAAACUGUCCUCUGCUCCAUCCUUUCAGGUGCUUGCUUUCUGACAAAACUGAAUGCCUGUAAUCCCAGCACUUGGGAGGCUGAGGCAGGAGGAUUGCCACGAGUUCAAGGCCAGCCUGGACUACAUAGUGAGUUUCAGUCUGAGCUACAUAGCAAGACCCUGUCUCCAAAAAAAAAGGACUUUUAGCUCUUGAUUUUCAGUAUAGUCUGGCUGAAAGUCCCCAAACAGUAUCUAUGCCAUAUCUACAAUGUUGCACUUGCCUGAAAUUUCGUCUUUAAAUAAACUUAUGCCCUUAUUCAGUCUCCUUUAAAACCGCAGGACAUGAGCAAAAUGUUGACAAACUUUCUAUCAGAGCAAAACAUACAUGGUGUCAAGUCCAAUUGCUAUGGAGUUUGUUCUCAACAGAAACUUCUUGAAACUGGUCUUUACCAUCCACAUUCCAUUCUGCAUUCUUGUUUUCCGAGCUCUGACCAGAAUCUCCCAUCAGGCGAGGCUUACAGAAUUCUAGGGCAGCUUCUCCAGCCAGCAUCUCUAAACCUUACCAAAUCCAAUGAACCACUUCCAAGGGUUCUAAACCACAUGGGCAGAUAGCAUCACAUCAACUACCCCAUUCUUGAUACCACAAUCUAUCUUAGUCACUUUUUUUAUCCCUGUGUGAUAAAAUACCAGACACCCACAACUUAAGGAAGUAAUAGUUUAUUUUUGCUCCAAGGCAGAAAGGCAUGAUGGAAAGGCCUGGUCGGGGAGAACUACUAAUGGCAUGGUGUCCAGGAAGCAGACAGAGUAUCAGGGGAAGAGCUUGGAUGAUAGAUAUAUAACCCACCUCUUCUAUCCAGGCCCCACCUCCUAACAACUAGUCAGCUACAAUACCCCUGUAAUCCAAUAACCUGUGAGUUUUUAGGGGAACAUCUAGAUAUAAACCAUAACAGGUAUCAUUCUUGAAUUUAUCUGUGGAGAGUGGUAGCUAGAUUCCAAUUUAAGGCAACUCAGAUGAAAUUGGAAAGUAUGUUUUUAUAAUAGAAAUUGAGAAUUGACAGUAUGAAUACCUAAAAUAGAUAACUCAGACCUUUCAUAACUCACUCUAAUGCCUAAAUGAAUUUCUCAGAAACUGAUCAUAUUGUCCAGGAAGUUGUCAGAUAACCAAUCCACAGUUAAGGAUAUAUGUUUUGGUUAAUCACUAUACCCACAUUUUGCUAUAUUUUCCACAUAGAUACUCAGAAAAAAAGACUGAGUUGUUGAGGCAUCAGUAAAUAAGUAUGGUAAAAUGUUUCUACAAAUCACAGAUUUAUAGAAAGGUCUUCUGUCAUAAUUGUAUUAUAUAAAAAGACAUCCUGUUCUCAUAUUAAAAAUUAAAUGUAAAUUAAAAAGUAGUGUAAAUUAUCAAAUGAUAUCCUGUCUUUAUUCCUAGAACUUCUUAUCCCUUCCACAUGUAUGUGUACAAUAGAUACGUGUUAAGUAAAACUAAGAACUUUAUUGUAGAGAUGGUCACUACUCUCCUAUAUACAAUACUAGGUCAGAUCAAAUAUCUUCUUUUUAUUCUAUUUCUGAAAGCAAACAUGUAAUGGGAUAGUCCCAAUUUAUAAACAUUGUAUUUUGAAAUUCAAACAGUUUAUACAUUUAGACCCAAGAAUGCUUCUCUUUUUUUUUUUUUGGUACUGGGGAUCAAACUCGGGUCCUCGCGCUUGCACAGCAGGCAGCGAAACCACCGAGCUAAAUCCCCCGGCAAAGAGUGCUUCUCUUUCAUACAUUUAGUUCAACAAAUGCGUUUCUGCACUUGGUACAGUUGUAAGCUCUAGAAGUAAGAUACAGUGGUGACCAAAACAAAAGUUCCUGUUCUCACAUACACUUGAUCACUUUGAAUGAAAACUCUUAGAAUUGUGUUUGGCCUAUAGUAUACAAUCAGUAAUUGCCAAAUAAUAUUCUUAAGGAGUGACCGUAUUAUUUUGGCAAAUCUUUAUUCAGAGCCAUUAGAUUCUGAACUGAACCAUCAGUGUAUUUCACUUCCCAAAACAAAAUUAAAACAGAAUUACUGAAUAAAAUAAAAUACAUGAUAUUUUAGACACAUUUUUGUCUUACUUCAUUGAUUUUCCCUGGGCAUCCACUUUCAAAAAGGAAGCAUCUUUCUACUUUUUAAAAAUUUCUUUUUUUGUGGCUUUGGUAAGUCAUGGACAUGUGAUUCUCACUUAAAAAUAAUGAAGAUAUAAUAAUAUUCUAAUUCACAGGGAACACAGCAGAACUUAGUAAAUUAAUGUUUACACAGUGCUUAGAAAUAUGAGGUUGAAAUUGCUAAGAGUAAUGUACAGAACUAUUACUGCCACUAAAAUCGGGACAAUAGACAUUUUUUUCCUACUGAAAAAAGACCUCAGUGAAUUGGUGUAAAAGUUGUAUGCCACAUUAAAAAAAAUGUUCUAUGUGUAUCUAAAGGAAAAUCAAAUAAAGACCUUGUCAUUUCAUUAUUAUGUGGUCUAAAAAUUUCUAGAGAAUCACUAUUUUGGGGAAAGUAAAUGGCAUUUAAGACCUUAUGAUUCACCAGACUGGACAGAUGGAUGAUUGCAUCUUCUUAUGUAAGUGACAGGUGGCAGCUCCAGUGAAAUGGCUUCCAAAGUUCUGAUUUUUGUCUCUCUUUCUUAGCUGGUGUUUGGUUUGGUGCUCAGUAGUAGUGCACUCCAAUUCCAAAAGUAAGGAGAAUUUGAGAGACCAGGAAAUGUGUGUCUAUAUUUGUGUGUGUGUGUCUGUGUGUGUGUGUUUGUGUGUCUGUGUGUGUUUGUGCUUGUAACUUACUGGCUCUUUAGUUAAGUCAGUCCUCUCAGUGGUCUAAGUAAAAUGGCAGAGAGUAGAUACCCCGAAGCAAUACACUAUGAUUUGAAAUCAGAUCUGAACUGCCUUUUCCUAGAAUAGUGAUUUUCCAUGUACACUUCAUAUAUCAUCUAGAGUUAAAGGUCAUGGUGUGUGAUACCUUCCCCUAUCAGCAGAAGAUGAUGAAAAGAGUUUAAACCUUAAAAUUUAAAGGGGAAUAAAUUAGUCCUAAGUUUUAUUUAUUCAACAAAUAUAUAGUGAACACCAAAAUGGUGAUACCAUGAAUUAUAAGGCAAAUUUUUGGUCUUGCAGAGCUUCCAGUUUGGGAGAAGAAAGACAAUAAAUACAUAAUUUUAGGAAAGAAUAAAUACUAUAAUAUGAAGAAAAUAAAAUAAUAUAGGACAGAGUGGAGAUGGCAGCUAUUUUAGAAAUGACGAAUAGUAUAAACCUCCUGAAAAAGUGAUAUUUGAGUAGAGAACAAAACAAAGAAGAAAGAAACAUGCUAAUCUUGGGAAAAGGAGCAUUCCUAGGAUGAGUCAUAUGAAGAUUGAAGGCCCUGAAGUGGGACAUACGGUAAUAUAUUCCAGGAAAGAGAAACAUUUCAUGUAUUCACAAAAUUUUUAAAAUCUUGAAGAACCAGGUAGAGAUGUGCUCAUUCAGUGUACACGUACUUGCCCUAUACAACCUGUAGGGCUGGAGGAUGUUAAAAUACCCUGAGAAAGAGAUUUCCAGUUUCAGAUUUUAAGGUGUUUUUAUGAUCCUUUUGAUGUUAGUUAAACCACAAAAAGUAUAAAUAUCUUCAGUCAAGUAGCAUAGAACUUAAUCUCUUCUCAUAACACCUGAAGUUUACUCCCUGAAAAUGCUUUUGAGAAGGAAUGCCACAAAACAACCGAACCACACCAAUGAGGGAUUCAGGGUGAGACUGCCAGGGCAAGGGGUAGGAAAGUACAGCACAGCACUUCAAUGAUCUAUCUUUUUAGCCUUCUUCUGUUUUAGAAAUUCUGAACCACGGAAAAAAACAAAAGUUUUACUCAAAGAGCUUAAGGAGAAACUAAGACUUUAAUGACCAGUCAGCCCAGAGAAGUUCAUACUUCAGAAACGCCUUGACCCUGAGCGCUCAAAAAGGGGAGGUUUUUAUAUUGUAAUUUUAAAUUAGGAGGGAGCUAGGGACUAACAAAGCAGAAUUUGACAGAGGCAGGAGUUUUUAGCAGAUAAGCAGGAGUCAUAAUUGAUCUGUGGUUAGGGGCUUUCUUUAGGAACAGGUUUUUUGCAUAGCAUAACAGGACACUUAGGGCUAACAUGACAGGGUGCACAUUGUGAAGCUAAGACUAACAGGCUAUAUAUAACAGGACCUGAGGGCUCUCAGAAAGAACAUCCAUUGUGACCAUGAAAGCUAUCAG